rnacentral:rRNA from 1 species
GAUUGGUGCUUGCAUCAUGAUUUACAUUUGAGUGAGUGGCGAACUGGUGAGUAACACGUGGGAAACCUGCCCAGAAGCGGGGGAUAACACCUGGAAACAGAUGCUAAUACCGCAUAACAACUUGGACCGCAUGGUCCGAGUUUGAAAGAUGGCUUCGGCUAUCACUUUUGGAUGGUCCCGCGGCGUAUUAGCUAGAUGGUGGGGUAACGGCUCACCAUGGCAAUGAUACGUAGCCGACCUGAGAGGGUAAUCGGCCACAUUGGGACUGAGACACGGCCCAAACUCCUACGGGAGGCAGCAGUAGGGAAUCUUCCACAAUGGACGAAAGUCUGAUGGAGCAACGCCGCGUGAGUGAAGAAGGGUUUCGGCUCGUAAAACUCUGUUGUUAAAGAAGAACAUAUCUGAGAGUAACUGUUCAGGUAUUGACGGUAUUUAACCAGAAAGCCACGGCUAACUACGUGCCAGCAGCCGCGGUAAUACGUAGGUGGCAAGCGUUGUCCGGAUUUAUUGGGCGUAAAGCGAGCGCAGGCGGUUUUUUAAGUCUGAUGUGAAAGCCUUCGGCUCAACCGAAGAAGUGCAUCGGAAACUGGGAAACUUGAGUGCAGAAGAGGACAGUGGAACUCCAGGUGUAGCGGUGAAAUGCGUAGUUAUAUGGAAGAACACCGGUGGCGAAGGCGGCUGUCUGGUCUGUAACUGACGCUGAGGCUCGAAAGUAUGGGUAGCAAACAGGAUUAGAUACCCUGGUAGUCCAUACCGUAAACGAUGAAUGCUAAGUGGUUUG